AAAGUACUCCCUCCGUCCCAAAAUUCUUGUAUUAGAUUUGUCUAGAUACAGAUGUAUCAAGUCACAUUUUAGUAUUAGAUACAUUCGUAUCUAGACAAAUCUAAGACAAGAAAUUUGGGACAGAGGGAGUAGUUG
rnacentral:pre_miRNA from 1 species